rnacentral:rRNA from 1 species
CCUACGGGAGGCAGCAGUGAGGAAUAUUGGUCAAUGGACGAGAGUCUGAACCAGCCAAGUAGCGUGAAGGAUGACUGCCCUAUGGGUUGUAAACUUCUUUUAUAUGGGAAUAAAAUGUUCCACGUGUGGGAUUUUGUAUGUACCAUAUGAAUAAGGAUCGGCUAACUCCGUGCCAGCAGCCGCGGUAAUACGGAGGAUCCGAGCGUUAUCCGGAUUUAUUGGGUUUAAAGGGAGCGUAGGUGGAUUGUUAAGUCAGUUGUGAAAGUUUGCGGCUCAACCGUAAAAUUGCAGUUGAAACUGGCAGUCUUGAGUAAAGUAGAGGUGGGCGGAAUUCGUGGUGUAGCGGUGAAAUGCUUAGAUAUCACGAAGAACUCCGAUUGCGAAGGCAGUUCACUGGACUGUAACUGACACUGAGGCUCGAAAGUGUGGGUAUCAAACAGGAUUAGAUACCACGGUAGUC